AACUCAGUCAGGAGGAGGAGACCCUGGAGAGAGGAGAAGAAAUUUUCCCUCCAUGAAGGCAGGCUGGAGAGAACAACAGGGACCAGGUGACCCUGCUGGGGCUGCGGGAGCUCAUAAUCAAAGAUGACAUGGGAUACACAGGCUGACUGGAUGUGGAACUGGAUUUUUCUGAAUUUAUCGUCAUACACCCCAUCAUCACUGCAACAAAGCAGAAAAAUCCACCAUCACCGUAACAGAGCAGAAAUGUCCAGUGAUCACACUGAGCAUCUGAUGAAAAACUUUCUGUGUUUAAAAAAAAAAAAAAAAGUCAAAAGAUUCUUGUAUGAGAAUAAAAGUGGGACACAUCUCCGAGAUCGCUGGGGCAGCCUCUUGGCUGGUGUGAAAGUUUUAUAGUUACAGCACCACUUCCACAGUUCUCCAGUGUGUUUCAGGAUUCAUGUACACUGGGGCGG